UCGAACUUCGAUCGUUUGUCCCGUUCAUAAGAAUUGAAAAAUCUUUGUCAUCGGCCCAGUCGUGUGGCCGACCAUAAGAAGAACCCUUUGAAGGCGAUGAAUGGGAAAUGGGACAAUGGGAUGGCAGAGUUGUAAGACACGCUACGUAUAACGGGGCGAAACAUUAGUUUUUUCUCGGUGCUGGUAUUGGUGCAAUGUGCCCAGUGUGCUGUGGACUGUUUGGGCACAAUGAAUAUUCUCGUGCAUCGAAAGUAUGUUACAUCGGUGGUGAUCGAGCUCCCAACCCUUCGAAGGGAGAACCGCUGUGCACUGUCCCUACAUGUCUCAGCAGGCACUCAUCCGUCGUGCUCAUAUGUAUACGUAUUAUUCGAUGCUCGCGUCAUGCAACUUCACUGAUUGAUGCAUAUUUUAAUUUGCAAUAACACUUCAAAUUGUGCGAUACACAUCUCGUCGGUAGCCUAAUUAAUUCACUCAAAAAUUUGUUUGUAGGAAAUCGACCAACCCUCAAGGCAGCCACUUUGUGGUGCCCAUCAAAGGCUACCGCAAAUUAAUUUGAAACGUCAUGAACGGAGAAUACCAUGUCUGCUUUUCUUGUUUCAUUCGAUGUCAUGUGUCAGCAAAUAUGAAAUGAAUAUACAAAGUGAGUAUGCGUCUUCAGGAAUAGAGUAACCUGAAUUUAACUGAUAACAAAAUACAGUGCUUAUUAUCGCAGUCUGUAUUUCGCUUCUGCUCUAACUGCUGAGAUCUUCAAUGCCUAGAUCUGUUUCUGUGCAACACAGUUAGAAUCCAGGUUAUUUAACUGUGUUUAAGGCUCUAC